rnacentral:lncRNA from 1 species
AACAAACAGCCCACGAGGCAAAAAACGAGAAGAAGGAGGUCCCACACGAAGGAGAAAUGGCGUGACAUGCUUUUAAUUGAUAUGUGUAUACAAGCGCAAUAUACGCAGAGUACAAACACACGUUGUGCUAAAGCGCAGCACGUGUUGACGUCAAGCUUUUCUUUUGGGUUUUUCUUCAUAUAUGUAUGAUACCAUCUCUAAUCUUUCGUCAUCCUUUUUGAAAUGUCAUUUCGUGUUGAGCACUUGACGUAUUCUUCACGUCAUCGUCCAUUUCCUAUAUCCAGGAUUUGAAUUGCGCAAUUGGAUAAAUAUAAACGACUAAAUAAACCACCAUGACUUUACACACAGUUAAGGUCAGAUGUGUGCAGCCAUCAUUAUUUGAUGGUAUUAAAAUGAGAAAAAAAAGGAAAAGUUGGUGGGGACUAGCCAUCAAAAAAGGAAUUGACGAUGAAAGUUUUGUACGAUGUGGAAAUGAAUGCAUUAUUCACCAAGCCAUGCACACCAAAAGUUAACAGGAUACACGGUUCGGGAGGAAAAUAAAACACGAAUUUCCACUUAACCUUUCGUUCAAUGUUUGGCUGGUCGAUUUAAGCAGAAAGUUUCUCUGCGGCUAACACGUCGCCAUCUGCUUUCUUUUUCUUCUCCUAUAUUAUACUUAUACGUUAACACGUUAACGCAAUUUGAUGAACACACUAAACGUCUGUAUAGUGUCA